UAGAAUUUUUUUAAAUAUUCUGAUUUAAUAAUUGAUUUUAAUAUUGAUUUUGCCCGGCGCCAUCUAUUAAUCACUUACCUUACUAGCUCAGUUAUAAAGUGAAUUCUGCAUGAGAUCUCCUAUCUGUGGAGGUGUGAGAAAAGAUUUCUGAAAUAUCAACUAAACAAACGACACAAAAAUACAGCUAUAUGAAAUGGUUGAUAAAUAACAAAAGACUGUCGAAUAUUGUACACGAAUUUGGAAAUAUAUUGAAAAUAAAGGCUUUGUUAUGCAACAUCAAAAAUACAAGGUUAUCUAGUCGAAAGUCUGAAGGAAGAAAUACGAUGCAAUGAAUUUAACUAUAUAAAAAAAUAAAAGUAUUUGACAAAAAUUAAGUCGAAGAUAACCCAAAAUUAUCUUGAAUAUUCAAAAUUUGUUAUACUAAAGCUAGAAAAUGAAAAACAUUGACUUUCGAUCAUGAUCAAUUAAAAAUAUAAACUGUUCAGUACAACCUUUCACGAUGUAAUAUGAAGAUAAACCAAACUGCUAUGAAGUCUCUUCGGAUCCAAGACGAAACCAACUCCUUCUAUUUCACUGGAACAAUGUUCUAAAUCUGGUAGAUACCCGCAUCACAAUACUUUUUCACUUUUCUUAUAAAGUUGAGGGUCAUUUUUGAAAAUUUUUUCUUCACCAUGAAGAUUAUUUAUACAGAUUGAUGUCUAUUUCAACAUAAUUUCACAAAUCUAUACAUGCAGCUAAAUGAUGCAAGACGUAUCACCUUAACGAAGUUCCUUUCGAAGUGACUUUUGGAAACAUGGAACCUUUUGAUGAUUCUUACGAACAAAUAAGGCUAUUGUAUGAUACAAAUAGAAGUAAUUCUCUGGUAAAACUCAAAAUUCAAAUUAUUAUAUGUUCUAGUUACUAAUUUCUAAUUUAUAUGUCAUUGAAAUAUCAUCUUUGAUAUAGGAUUACCUAUUUUGAUUUCUUAUGUAAUUCUACCUUUAUACACUUAAAUAAAACCAUCUUAUAACUA
rnacentral:lncRNA from 1 species